AUUGAACGCUGGCGGCAUGCCUUACACAUGCAAGUCGAACGGUAACAGGUCUUCGGAUGCUGACGAGUGGCGAACGGGUGAGUAAUACAUCGGAACGUGCCUAGUAGUGGGGGAUAACUACUCGAAAGAGUGGCUAAUACCGCAUGAGAUCUACGGAUGAAAGCAGGGGAUCGCAAGACCUUGUGCUACUAGAGCGGCCGAUGGCAGAUUAGGUAGUUGGUGGGAUAAAAGCUUACCAAGCCGACGAUCUGUAGCUGGUCUGAGAGGACGAUCGGCCACACUGGGACUGAGACACGGCCCAGACUCCUACGGGAGGCAGCAGUGGGGAAUUUUGGACAAUGGGCGCAAGCCUGAUCCAGCAAUGCCGCGUGCAGGAUGAAGGCCUUCGGGUUGUAAACCGCUUUUGUCAGGGAAGAAACGCGCUGAGCUAAUACCUCGGCGUAAUGACGGUACCUGAAGAAUAAGCACCGGCUAACUACGUGCCAGCCGCCGCUGUAA
rnacentral:rRNA from 1 species